rnacentral:misc_RNA from 1 species
GUGAAAACGACGCUUUCUCUUGCUUGUUAAUGCGAAAAUAGAGCAGAGUAGAAAGUUUUACGAUGGCUAUGGCAAGUGUUGUUGGUGAAUCAGAAAUUGAGGAGAAUGAGAUAAUGAAAAUGGGAUCCUACGGAGGGAAGGUGAAGGUGUUGAGGGACGAUCAAGAAUCUCCUGCCGAGGAGAUAAUGCUCCUCUGGGGAAUCCAACAACCUACUCUUUCUAAACCCAAUUCUUUCGUCUCCCAAUUCUCUCUCCAACUCCGCCUUGAUGCUUGUGGCCGCUCUCUCUCCAUUCUCCAGUCUCCUUCUUCUUUGGGUGCACCUGGAGUAACUGGUUCAGUGAUGUGGGAUAGUGGGGUUGUAUUGGGGAAAUUCUUGGAGCAUGCUGUGGAUUCCAAGUUGCUUAUGCUUCAAGGAAAGAAGGUUGUUGAGUUGGGUGCAGGAUGUGGAUUGGUAGGCUGCAUUGCAGCUCUGUUGGGUGCUCAAGUUACACUCACUGAUCUCCCUGAUAGAUUGAGGCUACUGAAGAAGAAUAUUGAAUCCAAUCUGAGAGAUGGAGAUUUGCGAGGCUUUGCAGUUGUGAGAGAACUCGUAUGGGGGGAUGAGCCUGACCAAGAUUUGGUGGAACCUGUACCCGAUUACAUUUUAGGCUCCGAUGUGAUUUAUAGUGAAGAGGCUGUGAUGGAUUUGUUGGACACAUUAAUGCAACUAUGUGGAAUCCAAACAACAAUAUUUUUGGCUGGAGAACUUCGGAAUGAUACUGUACUUGAAUACUUCUUGGAGGCUGCAAUGAAGAAUUUUAUGGUUGGCCGUGUGGAGCAGACACAGUGGCAUCCAGAUUACUGGAGCUGUCGGAUGGUGUUGUAUGUUCUGACAAAGAAAUGAGUUCAGCCAGUGAAAGUUACAUGAAAGUAUCAUGUUGUUAUAUUUGCUUAUUUAUGUGGUGAGUUUUGGGGCAAGGUUGAUAGUAGCACAUCAGUUCUGUACUGCGUACUUGUGCGUUUAGACUUGAUAAAGCUCAUUUUGCAUGUGCCUUUCGCUGGCUGAACUCAUUUCUUUGUC